GUGAUUGAUUGCCAAGAUAUCACAUAUACUAAAAUUAGAACAGAGAGAAAAUUAACCUGGCCUCCAAGCAAGGGUGACAUGCAAAUUUGUGAAGCAGUUCAUUUCUUU